GAGGGUAUAGCUCAGCAGUAGAGCACAUGCUUAGGCAUGCACGAGGUCCUGAGUUCAAUCCCCAGUUGUCUCC
rnacentral:tRNA from 1 species